UUGGUUAAGUUAGAAAGGGCGCACGGUGGAUGCCUUGGCACUAGGAGCCGAAGAAGGACGGGACUAACACCGAUAUGCUUUGGGGAGCUGUACGUAAGCGUUGAUCCAGAGAUUUCCGAAUGGGGGAACCCACUAUCUUUAGUCGGAUAGUAUCCUUACGUGAAUACAUAGCGUAAGGAAGGCAGACCCAGGGAACUGAAACAUCUAAGUACCUGGAGGAAGAGAAAGAAAAAUCGAUUUCCUGAGUAGCGGCGAGCGAAACGGAAAGAGCCCAAACCAAGAAGCUUGCUUCUUGGGGUUGUAGGACACUCUAUACGGAGUUACAAAAGAAAGCUAUAAAUGAAGCGGUCUGGAAAGGCCCGCCAAAGACGGUAACAGCCCGGUAGUUGAAAUGGUUUUCCCUCCAGAGUGGAUCCUGAGUACGGCGGAACACGUGAAAUUCCGUCGGAAUCCGGGAGGACCAUCUCCCAAGGCUAAAUACUCCCUAGUGACCGAUAGUGAACCAGUACCGUGAGGGAAAGGUGAAAAGCACCCCGGAAGGGGAGUGAAACAGUUCCUGAAACCGUGUGCCUACAAGUAGUUAGAGCCCGUUAAUGGGUGAUAGCGUGCCUUUUGUAGAAUGAACCGGCGAGUUACGAUUUGUUGCAAGGUUAAGCGGAAAAAGCGGAGCCGUAGCGAAAGCGAGUCUGAAUAGGGCGCAUAAGUAACAGGUCGUAGACCCGAAACCAGGUGAUCUACCCAUGUCCAGGAUGAAGGUAAGGUAAUACUUACUGGAGGUCCGAACCCACGCACGUUGAAAAGUGCGGGGAUGAGGUGUGGGUAGCGGAGAAAUUCCAAUCGAACUUGGAGAUAGCUGGUUCUCUCCGAAAUAGCUUUAGGGCUAGCCUCGAGGUAAAGAGUCAUGGAGGUAGAGCACUGUUUGGACUAGGGGCCCUUCUCGGGUUACCGAAUUCAGAUAAACUCCGAAUGCCAUGUACUUAUACUCGGGAGUCAGACUGCGAGUGAUAAGAUCCGUAGUCGAAAGGGAAACAGCCCAGACCACCAGUUAAGGUCCCAAAAUAUAUGUUAAGUGGAAAAGGAUGUGGGGUUGCUUAGACAACCAGGAUGUUGGCUUAGAAGCAGCCACCAUUGAAAGAGUGCGUAAUAGCUCACUGGUCGAGUGACCCCGCGCCGAAAAUGUACCGGGGCUAAACAUAUUACCGAAACUGUGGAUGAACCUC
rnacentral:rRNA from 1 species